UCGAACAUCUGCUGGCAUUUGGGGACCUGAGAAACACGGUGUGGCACCCAGAGACCCUUAGAAUGCGCCAUCCUUCUUGCCAUUUCUGAGGACCACUCUCCAGCUAAAAGAACCCUGAAGAGCGGAGGACAUUCCUUCUUCCAGACAGUGGCACAGUUAGCGGGAUAACUCGAUCACAUUCUCCCUGGGUGCCGCUGCAGCAGAGACAUCCCUGGGAAAUCUGACAUGCAGCCAGCAAGGGAACACAACUGGAAAAUUGGUUCUAUUAUCAAGGCUUCGACUAAUCUGCAUAGAUUGAUUCAGAUAUGACCAGACAGCUUUAAGGAACUGGAGCCUAUAAAGCCUUUCUGGAAAUAUCCUGAUUAUACCUUGCUUACCGAGUACCCAGCAGCUUU